UGCUGUCUUGUUAGAGAAGAACCUUGCAUUGCAUCAGGUUACAACAAAGGUGGAUUUACCACACAGUCUCAUCCUAUAUUACUGGGAUAUGAACUAAUUUUGUUUACCUAGACUGACCCACUUGGAAAAUUUUGAAAUUUCUAGUUCAUUUCUUGAUUGACAAAUAUUAAGAUUCUGACAUCUAGACUAUAAAGACUGAUAAUUUGCACAAUGUAACACUUCUACCUUAGAUCUUCAGAGGAAUAAUGGAAGAAAUAUAAAAAAUAUCGAGAAGCAGACACUGUCACUGGAAAUUAUUUAAAAAGUACUGUUAAAAAGCUGGGAACAUUAGUUACUUUCUUUUAUAUUCAGUCCAGCAAGGCAAGAAAGAUUCAGGGCUGACUGGUACUUUCAGAAAAGUUCCACUGGCGACUAAUUUGGGGGGUUGAGCCCUACCGGCCAUUGUGUUCCCUAGAGACGGUGAAUGGACUCUUGUUCCUAGAGUGGAUCACCAGCAUGUGGAAGCGUUGUAUUAGGAGACUGUAGAAUUCAUGCAGGAUUCCAUCAAACAGAAAGCUGCCAGUGUGGCAAGAGGUCUUCUAGGCACCUUUGGUUUUUCCAUGUUGUGUGCCGAGCAGCAGUCUGGGAAAGCAGACUGGGCAAGGUUUGCCAUGCCCCUGGCAUUAUGGAUGAGCCAAAGGGGGGAAAAGAAAAGAAUGCUGAAAACUGAUCUGCGAGAGAGUGGAUCACCAGAUUAAGCUCCUCCUCCACUUCUUCAAGUCACAUACACGUGUGAUUUAGAGCAACUAAGCUUUCUGCUUAGGGUCUAAAAAGAAAAUUUUAAGAAAAACAUAAAAGUCCGUGGGAAGGAUCCGAAGAAUAUAGCCAUCCUCAUCAGAUAUGGAUGUAACCACAAGAAAACGCUGCAAUAUGGUGCUGAAGAAAACGUUCUCAUGCGUGAAAGGAGGAAGAUGCAGAUGUUUUAUUUCUAAAAUAGUUUUUAUAAGAAAGAGAAUAAAUUUAACAUAAUCUUUGUGCUUUCAAUAAAGCUCCAGAAAGUAUGGAGCAGAGACAUGAGAAAUAAGGCAAGAAGCAUAUUAAAAAGGGAGCCAGCUGAGAGAGAGAGACAGAGAGGGACAGAGAAUUCAAAAUGAGUUGGAUGAGGUAGAAGAACGGGAAUUAACAUGUAAUAGUUGAUUCAAAAUCUGCAUGAGAGAGACUAAAAUCUGCAGGAGAAGGAUUACAAUGGAAAAGCUUUUCUAUGAUAUAAUGAAUCAUAAUGUGGAUGACGACUUUGAGGAGCUUUUCCAGGAUUUGGAUGAAGAGGAUAAUGAAAUGAAACUGAUGACGAUGAUAUGGUUCAUAAAUUCUGGCAAUAUAAUGGAAGGAGUGUAAGGAAUAUAGUGUUUUGAACAACCUCAGACUCAGAGUCUUCCCCUGAACAUUAACUGCAAGAAAAAAAUGAAUCAAGACUUUCAGAAUUUUAAGGAAAAAAUAUCUUUGCCUUUAACAUUUAUUCCAAAUUGGGUUUUCAUUCACAUAAGAAUACAACUGAAAGUACAUUUUCAGAUACUAAUUGGCUUAAAAAGUAUACUACUAAUAAUGUAUUAUUUAUUUUUUUUUCCCCUCUAAUCAUGGAGAUAGAAAUAAUGUACUCUUCUUAAGCUACAAGAAAUUAGAAAGAAAGACAACUCCAAAUUUAGAAUGGGAUUAUUUUUAAGAGAAAAUGAUGAAUGGGGAAUAUGGAAUAGAAGUAUAAUUAAAUCUAAAUGAAUCUUGUGAUUGUAGCUGUAAAAUCAAUUGACUAGGUCAUAAGUAGUUACUGAAAGACAAUGAAAAAUUAAAAAAAUAGAAUGCUAACAAAAACACCAAGUGAGUGGUUGGGAGUAUGUUGUAAAACAAGAAAUGUCUUCAAGUUACAUGGAGGAGAAGAAAUAGAUAUGUAUUUUCUGACAUUAAAAUUGUUUUAAAUUACAGAGAGGUGUGAGAUUAUUUCAUUGUGAAAUAUAGUGUUCCAUACAGAAUCAUGCAUGCAAUGGAUGCCAAGGGCUUGGUGCUUAAUUAUAAACACCAGCGUAAGUACCACUAGGUGAAGAAAGUUCGAUAUCAGCCCCUAUCCAGCAGCCUGCUUUGUUCCUCCCUAAUUAUAAUCCUAUUCCUUCUCCUCAGACAUGAGCAUCACCUUAACUUUCCUUGCCUUUAAAUAAAAUCGCUUUGCCACCGA